UACGGAGGGAGCUAGCGUUGUUCGGAAUUACUGGGCGUAAAGAGUACGUAGGCGGUGAUUCAAGUCAGAGGUGAAAGCCUGGAGCUCAACUCCAGAACUGCCUUUGAAACUAGAUCGCUAGAAUCAUGGAGAGGUGAGUGGAAUUCCGAGUGUAGAGGUGAAAUUCGUAGAUAUUCGGAAGAACACCAGUGGCGAAGGCGACUCACUGGACAUGUAUUGACGCUGAGGUACGAAAGCGUGGGGAGCAAACAGG
rnacentral:rRNA from 2 species